GAUGAACGCUGGCGGCGUGCCUAAUACAUGCAAGUCGAGCGAACAGACGAGAGUGCUUGCACUCUCUGACGUUAGCGGCGGACGGGUGAGUAACACGUGGGUAACCUACCUAUAAGACUGGGAUAACUUCGGGAAACCGGAGCUAAUACCGGAUAAUAUUUAGCUUCGCAUGAAGCAAUAGUGAAAGACGGUUCUGCUGUCACUUAUAGAUGGACCCGCGGUGUAUUAGCUAGUUGGUGAGGUAACGGCUCACCAAGGCAACGAUACAUAGCCGACCUGAGAGGGUGAUCGGCCACACUGGAACUGAGACACGGCCCAGACUCCUACGGGAGGCAGCAGUAGGGAAUAUUGCGCAAUGGACGAAAGUCUGACGGAGCAAUGCCGCGUGAGUGAAGAAGGUUUUCGGAUCGUAAAACUCUGUUGUAAGGGAAGAACAAGUACGUUAGUAACUGAACGUACCUUGACGGUACCUUACCAGAAAGCCACGGCUAACUACGUG
rnacentral:rRNA from 1 species